rnacentral:rRNA from 1 species
GAUGAACGCUGGCGGCGUGCUUAACACAUGCAAGUCGAACGGAAAGGCUCCUGCUUGCAGGGGUACUCGAGUGGCGAACGGGUGAGUAACACGUGGGUGAUCUGCCCUGCACUUCGGGAUAAGCCUGGGAAACUGGGUCUAAUACCGGAUAGGACCACAUUUUGGAUGGUGUGGUGGAAAGUUUUUCGGUGUGGGAUGAGCUCGCGGCCUAUCAGCUUGUUGGUGGGGUAAUGGCCUACCAAGGCGUCGACGGGUAGCCGGCCUGAGAGGGUGUACGGCCACAUUGGGACUGAGAUACGGCCCAGUCUCCUACGGGAGGCAGCAGUGGGGAAUAUUGCACAAUGGGCGCAAGCCUGAUGCAGCGACGCCGCGUGGGGGAUGACGGCCUUCGGGUUGUAAACUCCUUUCGCUAGGGACGAAGCGCAAGUGACGGUACCUGGAGAAGAAGCACCGGCUAACUACGUG